rnacentral:rRNA from 1 species
UCAGAUUGAACGCUGGCGGCAGGCCUAACACAUGCAAGUCGAACGGUAACAGGAAGAAGCUUGCUUCUUUGCUGACGAGUGGCGGACGGGUGAGUAAUGUCUGGGAAACUGCCUGAUGGAGGGGGAUAACUACUGGAAACGGUAGCUAAUACCGCAUAACGUCGCAAGACCAAAGAGGGGGACCUUCGGGCCUCUUGCCAUCGGAUGUGCCCAGAUGGGAUUAGCUAGUAGGUGGGGUAACGGCUCACCUAGGCGACGAUCCCUAGCUGGUCUGAGAGGAUGACCAGCCACACUGGAACUGAGACACGGUCCAGACUCCUACGGGAGGCAGCAGUGGGGAAUAUUGCACAAUGGGCGCAAGCCUGAUGCAGCCAUGCCGCGUGUAUGAAGAAGGCCUUCGGGUUGUAAAGUACUUUCAGCGGGGAGGAAGGGAGUAAAGUUAAUACCUUUGCUCAUUGACGUUACCCGCAGAAGAAGCACCGACUAACUCCGUGCCAGCAGCCGCGGUA